UGACCGGCGAACGGGUGCGUAACACGUGAGCGACCUUCCGUCUUCUGGGGGAUAGCCGGCCCAACGGCCGGGUAAUACCGCAUACGCUCAUCGGGGGGCAUCCCUUGAUGAGGAAACUUCCGGGGGAGGACGAGGGGCUCGCGGCCUAUCAGCUAGUUGGGGGGGUAACGGCCUCCCAAGGCGACGACGGGUAGCUGGUCUGAGAGGAUGGCCAGCCACAUUGGGACUGAGAGACGGCCCAG
rnacentral:rRNA from 1 species